GGUCAAGCGAAGAAGGGUCUACGGAGGAUGCCUGGGAGCCGCCAGGCGAGGAAGGACGCGGUCAGCUGCGAAAAGCCAUGGGGAGGAGCCAACAUCCGGUGAUCCAUGGGUGUCCGAAUGGGGUAACCCGCGCGGGGAAGACCCGCGCAUCCGCGCUGUGAAUACAUAGCAGGCGGAAGGAGACGCAGGGAAGUGAACCAUCUGAGUACCUGCAGGAAAAGACAUCAAACGAGAUUCCCCCAGUAGCGGCGAGCGAACGGGGAGGAGCCCAAACCUUUGGCGCGCAUAGCCUCGGGGCGUUGCGUCAGGGGGGUUGUAAGGGCAUGCCGGGGGACCACCGAGGGUCCCCGCGCAGAGAGAAAGGCACAGGUGAGCGGAAGGGUCUGGGAAGGCCCGCCGAAGACGGUGAAAGCCCGGUACGCGAAGCCUGGUGCGCUGUGUGGGCAUGCGCCUUGAGUACGGCGGGACACGAGGAAUCCAGCCGGAAGCAGGGGGGACCACCCUCCAAGGCUAAACACUGGCGGCUACCGAUAGCGCAUAGUACCGUGAGGGAAAGGUGAAAAGGACCCCGGGAGGGGAGUGAAAGAGAACCUGAAACCGUAGACUUGCAAGCGGUCACAGCGGGAGCGAUCCUGUGGUGGCGUGCCUUUUGUAGAAUGAGCCUGCGAGUUGCCGUACGCAGCGAGGUUAAGGGAUAGGAGUCCCGGAGCCGUAGGGAAACCGAGUCCGAAGAGGGCGAGAGUUGCGUGGGGCAGACCCGAAGCCAAGUGAUCUAUCCAUGGCCAGGCUGAAGCCGCAGUGAGAUGCGGUGGAGGGCCGAACCUAAAUCCGCUGAAAAGGGUUGGGAUGAGCUGUGGAUCGGAGUGAAAGGCUAAACAAACUUGGAGAUAGCUGGUACUCCCCGAAAUAGCUUUAGGGCUAGCCUCGCAUGGACGCUCACGGAGGUAAAGCACUGGAUGGAUGCGGGCCCUUCACCGGGUACCAAGUCCAACCAAACUCAGAAUGCCGAGAGCCAAUAUGCGGGAGUCAGACGGCGACUGAUAAGGGCCGUCGUCAAGAGGGAAACAGCCCAGACCAUCGGCUAAGGUCCCCAAGACAUGCCAAGUGGGAAAGGAAGUGCGGUUGCGCAGACAGCCAGGAGGUUGGCUUAGAAGCAGCCAUUCCUCGAAGGAGUGCGUAACAGCUCACUGGUCGAGUAGCCGCGCGCCGACAAUGUAACGGGGCUAAGCAUGUCACCGAAGCCAUGGCGCAGCGCGAGACGCUGCGGGUAGGGGAGCAUUCCAUGUACGGAUGAAGGGAGCCCGGGAGGGCUGCUGGACGGGAUGGAAGAGAGGAUGCAGGCAUGAGUAACGAAAAGACGGGUGAGAUCCCCGUCCGCCGGAAGCCUAAGGUUUCCAGGGUAAAGGUAAUCUGCCCAAGGGUCAGUCGGCCCCUAAGGCGAGGGCGAAGGCCGUAGCCGAUGGGAAACGGGUGAACAUUCCCGUACCUUCCCAUGCACCGACGGGAUGACGCAUAGAGCGAAGCGCGGCCGGAGAACGGUAGUUCCGGUCCAAGCACGGAGCUGUUGAGGACGCCAGGCAAAUCCGGCGUCCGAGGGGAAGUGCGAAUGCGAGCCGACCUACGGGGAGGCGAAGCGCGUGGAGCUGUCGUGCCGGGAAACAAUCCCUAAGGAUAUGCAUGGGGGGACCGUACCAGAGACCGACACAGGUGGGCGAGCUGAGAAUGCGAAGGCGCACGGAAGAACUCACGUCAAGGAACUCGGCAAAAUGCAUGCGUAACUUCGGGAGAAGCAUGGCCCGCGAAGGCGGGUUGCAGAGAAAUGGCCCAAGCGACUGUUUACCAAAAACACAGGUCCAUGCGAACCGGCGACGGGAAGUAUAUGGACUGACACCUGCCCGGUGCCGGAAGGUCAAGAGGAGCCGUGAGCCGCAAGGCGAGGCGGCGAAUUCAAGCCCCGGUAAACGGCGGCCGUAACUAUAACGGUCCUAAGGUAGCGAAAUUCCUUGUCGGGUAAGUUCCGACCCGCACGAAUGGUGUAACGAUUUGGGCGCUGUCUCGACGUGAGAUCCGGUGAAAUUGAAGUCCAGGUGAAGAUGCCUGGUACUUGUGGUCAGACGGAAAGACCCCGUGAACCUUUACUUCAACUUGGUACGGAGAGUUGGACGCGCAUGUGUAGGAUAGGUGGGAGGCGAGGAGGCGUGGCCGUCAGGCUGCGCGGAGCCAGUGGUGAAAUACCACCCUUGCGCGUGCAAUUCCCUAACGCGGCCCCUGAAGCGGGGCGGCGGACAGUGCCAGGCGGGAAGUUUGACUGGGGCGGUCGCCUCCCAAAGGGUAACGGAGGCGCGCGAAGGUCACCUUAGGAUGGUUGGGAAUCAUCCGGCAAGCGUAAAGGCACAAGGUGGCUUGACUGCGAGGCCGACAAGCCGAGCAGGUACGAAAGUAGGUCUUAGUGAUCUGGCGGUAGCGCGUGGAAGCGCCGUCACGUAACGGAUAAAAGGUACUCCGGGGAUAACAGGCUGAUCUUGCCCAAGAGUUCAUAUCGACGGCAAGGUUUGGCACCUCGAUGUCGGCUCAUCGCAUCCUGGGGCUGGAGCAGGUCCCAAGGGUUUGGCUGUUCGCCAAUCAAAGCGGUACGUGAGCUGGGUUCAGAACGUCGUGAGACAGUUCGGUCCCUAUCUGCCACAAGCGUUGGAUGUUUGAGAGGGCCUGCCUUCAGUACGAGAGGACCGAGGUGGACGGACCUCUGGUGUACCGGUUGUCGCGCCAGCGGCAUGCGCCGGGUAGCCACGUCCGGCAGGGAUAACCGCUGAAAGCAUCUAAGCGGGAAGCCUGCCUCAAGAUGAGACAUCCCGUCCCCCACGAGGGGACUGAAGGAACCAGGGAGACUACCUGGUCGAUAGGCCGGAGGUGUACGCAUGGCAACAUGUUCAGCCGACCGGUACUAAUCAGCCGUGAGGCUUGACCAU
rnacentral:rRNA from 19 species